rnacentral:misc_RNA from 1 species
GGAGAAGGAUAUCAAUUCAAUAGAGAGUUGUAAACAUACAGACAUGAGAUUAACUUUUUUCACAAAGGGAAAAUUCACCACUUUGUAAAGCAUAUGACUAUUUCACUUUUUCCCUAAUGUAAAAGGCUUUGUUACUCAUAAAAUGCAACACAACAAAGGGGUUUAGACCAUAGCUUGCGCAAAUGAAGAAACUAAUCAAUCAGAAUUCACAAUUUCUAUAAACAGUCUCGAUCCCUAAUAGACUGAGACUGUUUGCUACUUUUUUUUUCAAAUACAAAAGCAUAUCAAAACCAAAUAAGCUAGAAAUUUCAACCUAAA